UACAGAGGUCUCAAGCGUUGUUCGGAUUCAUUGGGCGUAAAGGGUGCGUAGGUGGCGCCGUAAGUCAGGUGUGAAAUCUCGGGGCUUAACUCCGAAACUGCAUUUGAUACUGCGGUGCUUGAGGACUGGAGAGGAGACUGGAAUUUACGGUGUAGCAGUGAAAUGCGUAGAUAUGCGGAGGAACACCGAUGGCGAAGGCAAUCCCCUGGGCCUGCACUGACGCUCAUGCACGAAAGCGUGGGGAGCAAACAGG
rnacentral:rRNA from 1 species